rnacentral:lncRNA from 1 species
AUAGGUUCCCAAUCAGGGACUGAAAUGAAUGAGGAAAAGCCUAUGUAGGCUACUUGCCAAAAGUGUACUUUUAUACCUCUUAAUCUUCCUUCUUAGAUCUAUAACCAGAUUCCUGCUAUUGGUAAGGUGGUAGCUUUCUUCUGCUGCAUAAAUUAAUAGUAGUAAUAGUAAACAAACCUAUGUUCAGAUUGGAAACAAGAUAUUUUGAAAUAUUACUGGAAAUUUUCUUGAUUUCGCCUCUUAGCUUCUGUGGAAAGUUAACAAGCUCAUUAAUCUUUUUCGCUUGGGCAGGAGGAACUAAAAUCUGUUGAAUGCCUCCAACCUGCUUCCCGAUGCUGCAAAGAGAUUGCUGAUUUUGUGACUGCGAAUCCAGAUCCGUUAAUACCAACAAAUCGAAAGAAACAACGAUCCUGUUGCUUUUGGAAAUGGCUCUGGUACCAUCUUCUCUUUACUUUUCAUUUCUUGUUUACCAUUUUCAAGAGAAAUGCUGCUCUACUAUUAAGAUAAAAUUGCUUCAAACAAAGAAAUUGUUAGAACUAUUGAACUGAGAACAACUUC